UUUAGGACUUCUGGAGCUGAAAGUAUGCAUGCACGCUCAAUAGCAGAAUGCACACAGCCAUGGAUGAACUGAAUCGAAAAAGACUACGUCUCGCCUCUUCUUGUUGUUCAGUGGAUCAGCACCAGCUGUCCCUUUCCUCAUCAUCGCCACAAACUCUGAAUAAUCUAUCCUUCCAUCCUACAUGUGCAAAAAGUCGGCAUCUGAAAUGACCUCUUUGAUUUUAUCGGCAUCAUACAACCCUUGCUCCUUCAAGGCGUGCUCAAGCUCCUCUCUUGUAAUGUACCUGUGAG